CUGAAGCAGCAACGCCGCGUGCGGGAUGACGGCCUUCGGGUUGUAAACCGCUUUCAGCAGGGAAGAAGCCUAAAUCUGAGCGUGUACCGCGUGCACGUAAGAAGACACACGCGCCAGACUACGUGCCUGCAGCCGCGCGUGAUGACAGAUAGCGGUAGCGGAUGCGUAUGUGCCGGAAUGUGAAUUGUGAGCUGUGAGAAGAGACAUGCAGUCAUUCGGUUUGUCGCGUCCGAACGUGCAUAGAACAUACAUGUGGCUGUGAGACUCAGCUCCUGACUUGGAUAGGGGACGGGUAGACUAAAGUGGGGGAGAAUAGAAUGGAUGGCGGAGCGGAUGGAAUGAAAUGAUCUCAUAUCGAACACAAGUGGGAAAGGCAGUGCUCUGGACCUUUCCUGACCUGAAGGAGAGAAAGCGAGGGGAGCAAAGCGGAUUAGAUACCAUGCCCUGCCACGCCAUAAACGGAGGGUUCGAAAUGAUGGGGAGGGUUCCAUUCCCUCGGGGCCGUACCUAACCUAAUAAAUAACCCUCCCUGGGGAGGACAGUACGCGAGGCUAAGAUAAAAAGGAAUUGAAU
rnacentral:rRNA from 1 species